rnacentral:lncRNA from 1 species
UUCUUUUAAUUGUUUGUCCAAAAUUACCAAACCUAGAUAGAUGGAUCGUUAAUGGCUCAAAGUCUUGUAUCAAGGCUUGGGGAUGGAUUGCUUGGUGCAUGCUGGUAGAACAGGAUUCAGAUUUUGGACUCUAAACACUUACCAAUUACUUAGUAGCAUUGACACUCAUAGAUCCCUCACAUUUUAUUACAUCACCAUCCCUCACAUUUUAUUACAUCACUCAUACUCUUCAAACACCUCACUGUUUCCAGUUUGUUCAUGCAUUCACCUUAGGUGCCCACCCGGCGAUCACGUAUUCCUUAGCAGCCCGCGUUUUCACGAACGAUUCACGACUGAAUAUCGACUGCAA